UACGUAGGUGGCAAGCGUUGUCCGGAUUACUGGGCGUAAAGAGCGCGCAGGCGGUCGUUCAAGUCGCGUGUGAAAGCCCCCGGCUCAACUGGGGAGGGUCACGCGAUACUGAUCGACUCGAAGGCAGGAGAGGGUAGUGGAAAUUCCCGGUGUAGUGGUGAAAUGCGUAGAGAUCAUGAGGAAGACCAGUGGCGAAGGCGGGUCUCUGGACAGUUCCUGACACUGAGGCACGAAGGCCAGGGGAGCAAACGGG
rnacentral:rRNA from 1 species